UAAAUCCCACUAGGGUCCAUGCAGGUAUCAAAACUACUGCAAGUCCCCAUGGUCCCAAGCGUGGUGAUCUUCCUUCAGUUGCUGGUGAUUAUUAGC